GCUCAUGCUCACGUUCACAAUUCACCCUCACCUGUGGAGUCACCUGCUGCUGCCUCUAUCGUGAACCACAAGCAGCCUGGGGGUGGCGAAGGAAAAGGCUUCCUGGGGGUGUGGGAACAUUCUGGGAAACCCCCUCCUGGAGGGGCCGCGGAGGGGUCGCAAAAACAGCUCUUGAAGGAUGGGGAAUCCCCAGGCAGUUCCCUCGCCCUCAGGGAGCCAGUUGGGACGAGGACCAAGGGACAGGCUGGUAUUUUCUAGCCAGGCCCUGGCCCGAGGUUCUGGCAGGGACUCUCCAGGCAUUCUGAGCAGGGCUUGGUCCUCCCUGUGAGCUCCGGUUUAGUGUCUUGACCUUCUCCUCACAAUUUCUAAUCACAAUUUCUAGAAGGGUGAAAAGAGUCCCUGUGUGUUUCUUCCUCAGCAGAACGCGCAGCCAUUUAUUGGUGGGGUGACUUUGAGUUCCCGCCCACACUUAAAUAAGAGAGUGAUGUUCAAAGCUGAUCCCUCAAUCCCAGCUACACAUGCAGUCCCCAUCAGUCCCCAGCCCUUGCACGUGACAUUCAGAGAGAGGCCGGAGCCCGCCCCUCCUGGACAGGGGGUCCUGCUGAAAGGCGGGACUCUUCCCAAGCAGUGGGAGGGUCUAUGCCCACGUCUCCCGCCAUUCCUGGGGAAACUGACCCCAACUCCAGCCCCUCACCCUAUGAGGCGAGAAGAGGAAUUACCAAAUCACAGGACUUUGCACAGAAUAAUAUGUUUGGCCACAUCAGCCAUGCCCUCAAGUCCUGUCACCUGUUCCUUGGCUUCCAAGACUACGAUUUCAUUGACCUCAAAUGUGAGAAACACUGUAGAUGGGUUCACUCAGCGUCCAUCCCAAACUGCCUCUCCCUGCCUUCCUCCAGAGAGACGGGGACAGAAUUGCUCAAAAACCCAGCUUACGACGAUGCAGCUGAGUGCAGCCGUGUGACAGGAUUCUGACCAAAGAGUUGUAAACAGAAGUACGUGGGGGGUGAGGUUGCAGGGAGAGGGGAAGGCCGAGCUUAAAUGCCACCCUCUCUCCACACGGACUGAUGCCCAGAGGGUCACAGCCAUCUUGCAGCCUGGAGAUGACAGCCACAUACUGAGGAUGCCGCGCAGAAUGGAGGAGCUCGGUUCUUCCUUGCUCUAGGCUUAUCUCUCCACUUCCGAUCGUCUUGUUAUUUGAGAAAAAUAAACCGUGACUCGUUCA